UACGGAGGGUGCGAGCGUUGUCCGGAAUCACUGGGCGUAAAGGGCGCGUAGGUGGCGCAGGAAGUCAACGGUGAAAGUUCGGGGCUCAACCCUGAAUCGGACCGUCGAUACUCCUGGGCUCGAGCACUGUAGAGGCAGAUGGAAUUCCGGGUGUAGCGGUGGAAUGGCGUAGAGAUCCGGAAGAACACCGGUGGCGGAAGGCGG
rnacentral:rRNA from 1 species